GACGAACGCUGGCGGCGUGCUUAACACAUGCAAGUCGAACGGAAAGGCCCUGCUUUUGUGGGGUGCUCGAGUGGCGAACGGGUGAGUAACACGUGAGUAACCUGCCCUUGACUUUGGGAUAACUUCAGGAAACUGGGGCUAAUACCGGAUAGGAGCUCCUGCUGCAUGGUGGGGGUUGGAAAGUUUCGGCGGUUGGGGAUGGACUCGCGGCUUAUCAGCUUGUUGGUGGGGUAGUGGCUUACCAAGGCGUUGACGGGUAGCUGGCCUGAGAGGGUGACCGGCCACACGGGAAGUGAGACGCGGUCCAGACGCCUGCGGGCGGCAGGGGUGGGGAAUAUUGGACAAUGGGCGGAGGCCUGAUGCAGGCAUACCGCGUGGGUGAAGAAGGCCUUCGGGUUGGAAAGCCCUGUUGUUGGGAAAGAAAAGCAGCAGGUUAAUACCCAGCUGUUCUGACGGUAACCAAAGAAUAAGCACCGGCUAACUUCGUG
rnacentral:rRNA from 1 species